ensembl:lncRNA
ACGCCCUGACCGCCGACGAGGCCAACAGAAAGUACAGCUACAAGGGGCUGGUGGCCGAGGCCCUGCGGCAGCUGGUGGGGGAGGAAUGCUACCGGCAGGACGAGGUGCUGCCCCCUGGGUACUGCACAGACUUCCUGCUGUGGAUCAACCGCUCAGGCACGGUGCUGCCUCUCUCCCGCGUUCCAGCAGCUUCCAGGGCGCCCCCAGCCACGUCCCCCGUCACCAUGUCCCUGCGC